CCUACGGGGGGCUGCAGUAACGAAUCUUCCGCAAUGCACGAAAGUGUGACGGAGCGACGCCGCGUGUAGGACGAAGCCCUUCGGGGUGUAAACUACUGUCAGGGGCUACCGGGGCCCCAGAGGAAGGCACGGCUAACUCUGUGCCAGCAGCCGCGGUAAGACAGAGGUGCCAAGCGUUAGGCGGAAUCACUGGGCUUAAAGCGCGUGUAGGCGGGUCGUUAAGUACCUUGUGAAAUCCCACGGCUCAACCGUGGAACUGCUGGGUAUACUGGCGAUCUUGAGGCAUCUAGGGGCAGCUGGAACAAGUGGUGGAGCGGUGAAAUGCGUAGAUAUCACUUGGAACGCCGAAGGUGAAGACAAGCUGCUGGGAGAACUGACGCUGAGACGCGAAAGCCAGGGGAGCGAACGGGAUUAGAUACCCCUGUAGUC
rnacentral:rRNA from 1 species